GAUAAACGCUGGCGGCGCACAUAAGACAUGCAAGUUGAACGGACUUAAUCGAAAUAUUUAUAUUUUGAAGCGGUUAGUGGCGGACUGGUGAGUAACGCGUAAGGAACCUGCCUAUUAGAGGGGAAUAACAGUGAGAAAUCAUUGCUAAUACCGCAUACGCCAUAGAUAUCACAUGAUAACAGUGGGAAAGGAGCAAUCCGCUAAUAGAUGGCCUUGCGUCUGAUUAGAUAGUUGGUGGGGUAACGGCCUACCAAGUCGACGAUCAGUAGCCGGACUGAGAGGUUGAACGGCCACAUUGGGACUGAGAUACGGCCCAGACUCCUACGGGAGGCAGCAGUCGGGAAUAUUGCGCAAUGGAGGAAACUCUGACGCAGUGACGCCGCGUAUAGGAAGAAGGUUUUCGGAUUGUAAACUAUUGUCGUUAGGGAAGAGAAAGGACAGUACCUAAGGAGGAAGCUCCGGCUAACUACGUG
rnacentral:rRNA from 1 species